rnacentral:rRNA from 1 species
GACAGAGGGUGCAAACGUUGUUCGGAAUUACUGGGCGUAAAGCGCGUGUAGGCGGCAACGCAAGUCGGAUGUGAAAUCCCAUGGCUCAACCAUGGAAGUGCACCCGAAACUGCGUCGCUAGAGUCCUGGAGAGGAAGGUGGAAUGCUUGGUGUAGAGGUGAAAUUCGUAGAUAUCAAGCGGAACACCGGUGGCGAAGGCGGCCUUCUGGACAGUGACUGACGCUGAGACGCGAAAGCGUGGGGAGCAAACAGG